rnacentral:SRP_RNA from 8 species
UGCCAGGCUCUAAUCGGCAAGUUAAUACCCAACCCCGCCAGGUCCGGAAGGAAGCAACGGUCAGUAUCUAACUUGGGUGAUUGGUAGUCUGGCAUUU